GGAGCACUGGGGGGAUUGGGAGCACUGGGAACACUGGGGGCUCUGGGAGCACUGGGAGCUGGAUGCUGGGAAGUGAAGUGCUGGGAUAUGGGUGCUGGGAGCACUAGAAGCAUUGGAAGAUGGGUGCUGGGCUCAGCCAGCAAGGCGUGCUACCAGCAGGGAAAAAUCCCUGUGAAACCCUUGGGAAAGCUCAUGGACUUUGCCCUUUGGGUCACUCCUCUCCUGGAGAUCUGCGAUGGAGCCCAGAUAACCCUGGGAGGAGCCCUCGGCAGAGCUAGAAUUGGGCAGACAGGUGAUUUGGGGGGAGAACUGUCACCCCUGAGCACACAGAGCUCCCACCGUGCUGAGGGGACAAGUCUGCUAAUUGUGGUCUGUGUCUAAUUGUGAUCCACCUAAUUGCGA